GAUGAACGCUGGCGGCGUGCCUAAUACAUGCAAGUCGAGCGAACGGACGAUAAUCUUGCUUCUCUGAUGUUAGCGGCGGACGGGUGAGUAACAUGUGGAUCACCUACCUAUAUGACUGGGAUAACUUCGGGAAACCGGCGCUAAUACCGGAUAAUAUUUUGAACCGCAUGGUUCAUAAGUGAAAGACGGUCUUUCUGUCACUUAUAGCUGGAUCCGCGCUGCAUUAGCUAGUUGGUAAGGUAACGGCUUACCAAGGCAACGAUGCAUAGCCGACCGGUGAGGGUGGUAGGCCACAUUAGAAGUGAGACAGCGUCCAGACGACUAAGGGACGGAGCAGUAUGGAAUGUUCCGCAAUGGGCGGAAGCAUGACGGAGCAACGCCACGUGAGUGAUGAAGGUCUUCGGAGCGGAAAACUCUGUUACUAGGUAAAAACAGAUUUGUCAGGAGCUGAGGACAGCGUGACGGUACCUAAUCAGAAAGCCACGGCUAACUACGUG
rnacentral:rRNA from 1 species